rnacentral:lncRNA from 1 species
GCAGGAACCAACAUCCGAAACACACUCUCUCCAGGCCAUCCAGGCCACUUUUUUUCAGUGCUUCCAACUGCCAAAUUCACCUCAUUUUCUUGUUUUUCUUGAAGCUGUGAGUCCUCAGGUACUAUAUCCUCUGGUACUUGAUCCUCAGGUACAUGAUCCUCAGGGACUUGAUCCUCAGGUACAUGAUCCUCAGGGACUUGAUCCUCAGUUAGUUGAUCCUCAGUUACUUGUUCCUUGGUUACUUGACUCUCAGGUACUUGCUCCUGGGGAACUUGCUCCUGAGGUACUUCAGGUACUUCAUAUUCAGGCACUUCAUACCCAGGAACUUGAUUUUCAACUUCUUGAUUCUCAGGUAUUUGCUCCAAGUCAUGGUUCCCGUCAUGUUCAACAAAUCCCUGAUCAGCUUCAGCCAUAAUUUCCCCACUGUAACAAAACAUAGAUUCAAAAAUUAUUUCAAAAAGAAAAUGCAUUAACAAUUAGUAUAUUUGAACUCCGGCCAUCAAAUAUUCUUAGUCAAGGGAAGCAACAAUACAUAUGCCCAACAAACAGAACUCAGGAUUCCAACUGGACAAUAUUCACUUCUCCUAACCUUCACUAACUUAAGAAAAUAAACUACGCAUAGCAUCGCAGAAAAAUAGAAUCUACAGACAAUUCAAAAAGUAAUAAUCCCAAAAAAAAUUAACAGAAAAGAAAACAACAGAGCACCGCACUAACCUGGAAUUAACAUGUUUGAGCUGGAGUACCUUAGGGUUUGAAAUAGUAACACAAUAAACCAGCACAUAAGCAUAUAAACCCUAAAACUACAAAGACAUUAUGACUAUAAAAUAAUUUAAAAAAUCACAAAAUAGCAAGAACCCAUUAAUGGGUCAAACAUAAAAACACCCAAAUCACUUAAAAAGAUAUUCAAUUUAAAACUACACACAAUAAUUACCGGACCCACAU